GAUGAACGCUGGCGGCGUGCCUAACACAUGCAAGUCGAGCGAGAAAGUCCCCGCAAGGGGAUGAGUAAAGCGGCGAACGGGUGAGUAACACGUGGGCAACCUGCCCUUCAGUCAGGAAUAACCCCGCGAAAGCGGGGCUAAUACCGGAUGACGUCCUUUGGGGGCAUCCUUGGGGGACCAAAGGGGGCGAGCGUAAGCGGCUCCCGCUGAAGGAUGGGCCUGCGGCUGAUUAGCUAGUUGGUGGGGUAGCGGCCUACCAAGGCGACGAUCAGUAGCCGACCUGAGAGGGUGACCGGCCACACUGGGACUGAGACACGGCCCAGACUCCUACGGGAGGCUG
rnacentral:rRNA from 1 species